rnacentral:lncRNA from 1 species
UUCUAGUUUUCACCACUCAUCUCUCUUCUUUCAUUCUGAAGUCUUUCAGUCACAGGCGCCUCUGCCUCAGGUGCCUCCCAGCUCCGGUUCCCUUCCAGAAUGCCACCUCCCUUCCACUGCCUCCCAGGACCUUUGCACUCCUCUGCCUUCCAGGGCACGUCUUCAGGCCUCCUGGACCAGCCCCUGCCUGUCGGAUGUGGACCCCUCAGAGGGAUGACAGGACCCCCUGACUGUGAGUGCCCUUGCCCUUCUCUGGGUUCUGGGAAGCAAGGGCUGGGAACACUCUGCUCACUGGAAAACACAUG